rnacentral:rRNA from 1 species
CCUACGGGAGGCAGCAGUGAGGAAUAUUGGUCAAUGGUCGCGAGACUGAACCAGCCAAGUAGCGUGAAGGAUGAAGGCCCUACGGGUUGUAAACUUCUUUUAUAGAGGAAUAAAGUGAGCCACGUGUGCAUUUUUGUCUGUACUUUAUGAAUAAGCAUCGGCUAACUCCGUGCCAGCAGCCGCGGUAAUACGGAGGAUGCGAGCGUUAUCCGGAUUUAUUGGGUUUAAAGGGAGCGUAGAUGGGUCGUUAAGUCAGUUGUGAAAGUUUGUGGCUCAACCGUAAAAUUGCAAUUGAGACUGGCAGUCAUGAGUAUAUUUGAGGGAGGCGGAAUUCGUGGUGUAGCGGUGAAAUGCCUAGAUAUCACGAAGAACUCCGAUUGCGAAGGCAGCUUACUAAACCAACACUGACACUGAUGCUCGAAAGUGUGGGUAUCAAACAGGAUUAGAUACCCUGGUAGUC